UACGUAGGGUGCGAGCGUUGUCCGGAAUUAUUGGGCGUAAAGAGCUUGUAGGCGGUUUGUCGCGUCUGCUGUGAAAAUCCGGGGCUCAACCCCGGACUUGCAGUGGGUACGGGCAGACUAGAGUGUGGUAGGGGAGACUGGAAUUCCUGGUGUAGCGGUGGAAUGCGCAGAUAUCAGGAGGAACACCGAUGGCGAAGGCAGAUCUCUGGGCCAUUACUGACGCUGAGGAGCGAAAGCGUGGGGAGCGAACAGG
rnacentral:rRNA from 1 species